rnacentral:rRNA from 1 species
GUGUCAGCAGCCGCGGUAAUACGUAGGGUGCGAGCGUUGUCCGGAUUUAUUGGGCGUAAAGAGCUCGUAGGCGGUUUGUCGCGUCGGCCGUGAAAUCUCCACGCUUAACGUGGAGCGUGCGGUCGAUACGGGCAGACUUGAGUUCGGUAGGGGAGACUGGAAUUCCUGGUGUAGCGGUGAAAUGCGCAGAUAUCAGGAGGAACACCGGUGGCGAAGGCGGGUCUCUGGGCCGAUACUGACGCUGAGGAGCGAAAGCGUGGGGAGCGAACAGGAUUAGAUACCCCUGUAGUCC